rnacentral:rRNA from 1 species
GACGAACGCUGGCGGCGUGCUUAACACAUGCAAGUCGUACGGUAAGGCCCUUUCGGGGGUACACGAGUGGCGAACGGGUGAGUAACACGUGAGUAACCUGCCCACAACUUUGGGAUAACGCUAGGAAACUGGUGCUAAUACUGGAUAUGUGCUCCUGCUGCAUGGUGGGGGUUGGAAAGCUCCGGCGGUUGUGGAUGGACUCGCGGCCUAUCAGCUUGUCGGUGGGGUAGUGGCCUACCAAGGCGGCGACGGGUAGCCGGCCUGAGAGGGUGACCGGCCACAUUGGGACUGAGAUACGGCCCAGACUCCUACGGGAGGCAGCAGUGGGGAAUAUUGCACAAUGGGCGCAAGCCUGAUGCAGCAACGCCGCGUGCGGGAUGACGGCCUUCGGGUUGUAAACCGCUUUCAGCAGGGACGAAGCUUUUUGUGACGGUACCUGCAGAAGAAGCACCGGCUAACUACGUG